UCCCUGAUGGCUCAGAUGGUAAAGCAUCUGCCUGCAAUGCACGACACCCAGGUUUGAUCCCUGGGUUGGGAA
rfam:TPA: Bos taurus chromosome 14, whole genome shotgun sequence.